AGCGAACGCUGGCGGCAGGCCUAACACAUGCAAGUCGAACGAACUCUUCGGAGUUAGUGGCGGACGGGUGAGUAACACGUGGGAACGUGCCUUUUGGUUCGGAAUAACUCAGGGAAACUUGUGCUAAUACCGAAUGUGCCCUUCGGGGGAAAGAUUUCUCGCCAUUAGAGCGGCCCGCGUCUGAUUAGCUAGUUGGUGAGGUAACGGCUCACCAAGGCGACGAUCAGUAGCUGGUCUGAGAGGAUGACCAGCCACACUGGGACUGAGACACGGCCCAGACUCCUACGGGAGGCAGCAGUGGGGAAUCUUGCGCAAUGGGCGAAAGCCUGACGCAGCCAGGCCGCGUGAAUGAUGAAGGUCUUAGGAUUGUAAAAUUCUUUCACCGGGGACGAUAAUGACGGUACCCGGAGAAGAAGCCCCGGCUAACUUCGUG
rnacentral:rRNA from 1 species